UGCAACUAGAGCUUACUUCGAAAACUUUGAAAAAUCCUGCAAAGCCACCAGAGAAACUUAACAAUAUCCAAAAGAGAGCAUUUGUCAGCUGAAGCACAAAUAAAAUCACAUAUUUGUUUUUUACAUUUCAAUUAAAUAUGACACAUAUUUCGAAAUUAACCAUAAUAAAGCAUGUACCAGCCGAACCACUGGAUAUGUUCAAAAGUAUUAUUGAAAGAAUUAAUUCGACGUCAAUUAUAAUGAAUAUUGCUACAAUGGAUAAAGAAUUUCACAUAUUAAACCGAUCAGUUGCAUAUCGGGGACUUGUGGAUAAUUCAAUUUGUUUUGUAACCGAACGUAACACAAGGAAAUAUCACAACAUAAUAGCAAAUCCUAAUGUAGCUUUAACAAUGUUCUUUCCUGAAGUAUAUAAUCCAAAUACACCAAAUAUCAAAGAAACUUGGCAAGUACGUCUUAUUAAUGGAAAAGCGGUAGAACUUGAGCCCACACAAAUAGCUAAAUUAUGGACUGAAGAACCUAUCUUUGCAAAGAUACGUAGCCACAUUUGUAAAUGUGGUGAACCAGUAAAUCAUGAAGAACUACUACAAAAGCAUGAUGAACUAUUAAAGGAAUAUGAAAAUGGCUGCAAUAAGCUAGAGCAAACAAAUACUUACACUGCUUUUAAAAUAAUACCAAAAAUUUGGGAUUUUUACAAGAAUGAAGAAAAUUGUAUUGCUGAUCGGGUACAAUAUAGUUUGGAAAUAACUGAAACGGAACAAAAAUGGAAAGUAUACCAUGUAAAUGCUUGAGCAAAAGAAAUGCCUUCUAUAAUAAAUAAUAUGAAAAUUUAUUAUCGUAAUCAAAUGCGACUAUUUAUUUUUAAAGCUGGAACUAGCUAUGAAACUAUUAGAAAAAAAGUUAUGAAAACUUUUAAAAUUGUACCGGAAAAACAACAUUUAUAUCAUAUCACCAAUGGAGACGGAUACAUAUUUGA